UGUGGAUGUUUGAAACAAAGGUGUAGAAAUAAACGAAUUGUUUGUGAUUUAGCUAUGGACCUAGAGAC
rnacentral:sRNA from 1 species